rnacentral:lncRNA from 1 species
UAUAAGAGUGUUCCAUACAUAAUGUUCCAUAUGUGGAUUUGCUUAUGUGUGAAAACAAUGCUGCUAGUAACAGUUUUCAUGUUUGCUGUCGCUGGUAUCAAGUCAAGAAAAGUCCUAGCCAAGAGAAUGGAUUUAGAAGCUAGAGCACAGACAGGUGACUUGGCGCCAAUAGUCUGUUACACCCCCACCACGAGGCUUCAGUUCAGAAGAGAGCAAGAUGAAAAAUAACCUCUGGGUGGAGCAUCCACUUUAGUGGAGAGAGUGACGGCAAAGACCUUCAGCUUUCAGGAGAAGCUGUGAUUGCAAGGCAGCAUCUUUACAGGUGGAAUCAGCGCUGGCUGGAGCAGUUGAAGCCAAGGCACAGUGCUAGAUUCUGGAACUGCAAAUUUAAAUGGAUUCAAUCUCUGCCUUUAUGGAGCUCCCUGUCUAAUGGAAAUAAGAGAUGGACAGUAGACGGUCACACCUGAAUCAUCUGAGACUAAUAAGAAUUUAUCCUGUUUCUGAAGAUGAUCAGAAAAGCAGAUCAACAACCCUUUUGCAUUAUGCCCUCCCUCUCUGAAGGCACAGCCAUGUUCUGGAGGAGAGAAAAAGUAACGCUCUAGGCCCAGUUGUCCCAUGUCUGUGAUGAAGGCUGUUUGCCCCAUAUCUAACUGGUGAUAGGGUCUAAAAUCUGUUUUUUCAUAAACUAUUCCCAAAGUCAGUAAAAAUGACUGUACAUCAUACUAGCAAAUUUAUCACAAUAUUAGACCUUGCUAGUGUUCCUACAUUGUAAUUUCUCUCACCCGAUCCUCCUCUGACUGGUCCCCUCACAUAGGUAACCGAUGGACCCUCUUGGACUCUCCAUACCCAGUAAAUAAGCUCCAUGACAUCAUUCAUUUAGUCACUGGACACUUACUCUAUCUCUUUUCUUAGCUGAAAUUUGUCUCUACUCUGAGGAACACUGUCUCCCCACCAGCCCAACCACCAGAGACAGCCCAUCUUCCAACAGUGUUGUUCUCGGGUUAGGACUAAAGAUGGCAUUAUUUCUCUGCUUUCAUGUAAAAAUGCUCUCCUUUAUGCUCAUGCCAUCUUAUCAUACCACCUUCUUCUCCCUCUUCUUUAUAUUUCUUUCUGAGGUCCUAAUAGCUUCACUCAUUCAUUGAUGACAUCUGGCUCACGUCCUCGCUUUCUAUCCCAAGUCUUGCCAUUUUGUUCAUUGUUAACAUAGAUGGCCCAUUAAGCACCUCUACUCCCAUGACUUUCACCUCUAAUCUUUUGCAGACAUAGAUUACUGUGGUCCUACCGUGGAUCUUGUGUUCACCUUUAUACGCCUCUGAAGGCUUCAGCUCCAAUUUUCCAUUCUCUGACCCAUCUUACUCUUCCAGAUCUUUUAUGACCUCAAGUUAUUGACUAUCUGAAGUACUGCCUCACCAGUUUACUGAGUUUCCUUGACCCCAGGCCUUUUGCAGUGAUUACUUGGGGCUACAACUCUGGAUUCCUGCUACAAUUCACCUUCUCUAAUCCCAUACCCAGAUAAAUCAGCCUUUCUAGAACUGCAGGUUCUAGCUAUUUCAAAACUACAGACUUAGACCUCAACUGUGCUCUCAGUCUCACCACCAGGAAAUCCUAUAAGUUAUCGUCGGUCAGUCCCCAAACCAUCAUUUCAGACCAACCUUACUCUCUUCUUCACAUUUUCCAAACACGCUACUCAUCUUUCCUUCUCUCAGCUUCAGUAGACAGACUGGUGUCUUGCUACCUGGAAAAAGUUGAAUUUGAUCUGACUUUCCUUAAAUUUUCCUUCCCUUCUCCUUCCGUUUAUAAAUUGUAUCUUCUCUCUUUAUAAAUUGAGCAUCCUUGCCUCAUUUCCUCUGAUCCUGGGUGUUAAGUUAUAGUCCAUGGCUAACCUCUCUAUCUGUGCCCUUGGGCUCAUCUUUUUAUGCCAACUUCAGGACCCCGAACCAUGAGCCAUCCAUCUUCAGCUUCUUUUUGCUGCCUACAGGACAAAGUCCAUACUUCCUAUCGUGGCUAAGUCCAACCUCAUGUCUUCACUCUCAUCCACUUGUCUGUGCUGUAGAACUGCACUGACCAACAUGGUAUCCACCAGCUCAUGUGCUAUUUAAAUUUAAAUUAAUUAAAAUUGAAAUUCAGUUACUCAGUUGCACUAGCCAUUUUCAAGUGCCCAAUAGCCACAUGUGGCAAGUGGCUACUGUAUUGAACAGCAUAGACAUAGAGCAUUUCCAUCAUUGAGGAACGUACUCUUGCACAGCUCUGCUCACCUUUACUGAAUAUCCUUCACUUCCCCAAGAAGGCCAAGAUUUCUUAUGUCUCUGGACCUUUGCACAAGGAGAUGCAACAACCAUUUCUAUGUCAUAGGCUUCACUCUGGCAUCCUAAACAUAUUUUUACAUGGACAUCCACUUCCAGAAGCAACUUUUGAUGUUGUUGCCAGCAAGCACUGAAGUUCUUAACAUCAGUCUUUACGUAGUCAUUGGUGUACCUUUACAGCACCCAUGUGUUUUUUCUCUGUGGAUAAAAAUAAAGACUAGGAAGAUGUCUUAAUUGGGAGAUGGAACAUUUUACCUUAGAGGAGGGCAUUUUGAUCCACCAUGCUAGUCUUUCCAAAUCUCAUAUAAUGAAAAUUUAACUGUAAUUUUAGAUAGAGCAGCCAUCUUACCUUCAAGCUUAUUACAGCUUCUUAGAAGAUCUUUUUCAAUUUUUUAAAAAGAGAACCUACAAUGAACCACCGAAUUAUCUUUGUUGAACCUUUGUUUUUAGUGCAUCCAAAUGAUUAAAUUGCUAUGCACCAGAAAGAAUACUUGGAAAUUCAACCACAACACUAUUUUAGGAAAAGUUCAAGCGAAGUUGCAGGGAGAAAGAGUAAAAAAAUGAAUUUUUUCGACAUGUCCCCCUAAAUUAGGCCUUUGCUGUAGGACAUGAUUAUUUCAUUUAAAAGUGAAUUCCUAUAAGACCAGGAAUUAUAUAAAUAUAAAACACGUUCCAAAACCAAAUAUUAAAUUUGUGGUAAUUAUUUAUCAUUCUAUAUAUGCUUUCUAAAUGUCAGGACUGGAGGGAGAGGUGGGAGACUGGCUCUGCCAUUAGCCGGCUGUGAGACUGGGCAACUAGCUUCCACUCCUGGGCCUCUGUGUCAUGUAUGAAGUAACAGCAUCAGAGAAGACUCUCUCUAAGCUCCCUUUUCACUCUAAAAGCCAUAGUAUUCCUGGGUUUUGGGUGGGAGAGGACAUUCUUUAAUACCAUCAAUAUUUUCUCCAUUUUAUAUAAAAAGCAACACAAAUCCAGCUUCAAGUUUCUCUCCCCUACAAGAUUGUCAGCACUUAAUUCUUUAUGCAUAGAAAUUCUGGAGUCUCCACCACCUAAAAUUAGAGAAAUAAAUGUGAGUGAAAUGCAUCUCCAAGAGCAGUUCAUGGAGAUGGGCAGUGGAGGGGUGGAGGAGGAGGAGGAAGUUGCAAGAGAAGAGAAUCCGCAGACUGGCGCGACCUCAUUAAGUCCGUGGGCAUCGCCUUCUGUCUUCAGAUAAGUUGCAUGUGCCUUUAACAAUACAUAGCCCUUCUCUUCAUUCCCCUUCCUUCACUGUUUGUAUAAACUGUUUGUAUAUAGGCAUUUUGCUAGCAUGAAAAACUCUUCCCAAAAUAUUGCAAAUAUGCAAACAUUAUUUGUAAAUGUAAUUUCAAAAACAUUUCGUUGUUUCCAUGCCUUUGUUAAGAAUACAGGCCUCACAUGCAAGAGCUUGUGUAUACUCAUAAGUUUCAUCUUGUAUGUUGGAGAUGAGAAGGUUAGACAUGAAAUGCUUGCUUUCGUUUACUCUUUUCCUGUAUUAUUGUGAUAAAUGAAUGGAGAAAAGGACGUACUCCAAGGUGGAAGAAAGAGUAUAUUUUUCUUCUGCAAUAUGAAACUUUUAAUUAUUUUAAAUGUGUGACUUAGUCAACUUGGAACCAGUCCACCUCAAAGUAAAAUAAAAAGAAAUGAAAAUUGAUGAAGGAAUGGUUCAGUAACUACAAAAUUUAAAGUUAUUACAAAUAGAGUAUAAAAACCUCUCUAAUCCUUAGAUUAGUUGCAAUUUCUGGAGGGGUGUGUGUUCAGUUAAAAUAUCAUCGUACAAAUUAUUUUUAUUUUCUUGGAAGACAAAAAUAAAGGUUACUUUUAAUGUAGCUUAUAAAUAUGCACAUUCUUUAAAAAGUAUUUUAUGCCACACAUUUAUUUAAGGAACAAUUAUACACAGACUGCACUUACCAACACCACACUCUCCAAUUCUCUUCUCCAAACAAAAAUAAAUAAAGAAGCCUGUUUUGCUGCAAAAUGAUUCUAAAUUAACACCCAAAAGCAAGCCUAGCUUUCCAAACUAAUUGGCAAAUCCCUAAAUUUAGGAAGCUUCUAAAUUUUGCUAACUUUUGUGAUGAGUCCAAGAUCCAAGGAAGAAGAGGUGAAAUUUCAACUUUUUAAAAUUAUCGCCAUAUGUGCAUAGAUAUAAAAAAGCAAAACGUAUAAACUACUACAUAUUCAUUCAUACUGCAUUGGUUAAAUAAAUCAUGAUGCAGACCAGCUGUGGAAUACUACACCACCGUUCAAAGAAAUAAAAAGAAUAAGAUGACCUGUUAAGGAGAAAUGAAAAAAUAGAUUAUUAAUUUUUUAAAGUGCAGAACCGUAUACUAGUAUUCCUUUUGGUAAAAAUACUAAUGAAUUAUUAUGGUAUACUGUAUAUACGUGUAGAUUUGUGUGAGUGUGUAUAAAAUGCAGAACUGAUGCCAAUGGUUGUUAUGGGAAGAGGUGGUGAGAAUAAAGGAGAAUCUCACUUCUUAUGUAUUUUUGUAUGAUAUCAGUUUUUAAAUGACCAUGUAUUAUUUUUAUAAUCAGAAUAAAUAUUAAAG